rnacentral:lncRNA from 1 species
GUUUUAUUUGCAUGCUCUGGAAUGGGUCUAACUACGAGACAGAGCAUGUUCCAUGUGUAGAGGCAGUCUUAAAGAGAUUCUAACUAUCAUCUAAAAAAAGAGAAAAGUAAGGUAAAUGCUCCUGGACAAGGUAGACUGGUGAAGGGAUCAGACAGAGAGGAGACUAGAAGCUGUUCUGCUGGGAAGUUCUCAGUCUGUUCAACUGGCAGCUGCUGGAGGCAAUGUAGAGAAAAGAUGUUUCCAGAGCAACUGCUGACAAGGGUCACAAAUGGGUCAAAUAUGGCAGGGAUAAGCCACAUAAUCUAUAUUUUUCCAAACUCAGUUUUUGGAAAUGGGCAUAAUCACAAGUUCAGAUGUGGAUCACUUUU